rnacentral:rRNA from 1 species
AACGAACGCUGGCGGCAUGCCUAACACAUGCAAGUCGAACGAGACCUUCGGGUCUAGUGGCGCACGGGUGCGUAACGCGUGGGAACCUGCCCUUAGGUUCGGAAUAACUCCCCGAAAGGGGUGCUAAUACCGGAUAAUGUCUUCGGACCAAAGAUUUAUCGCCUUUGGAUGGGCCCGCGUUGGAUUAGCUAGUUGGUAGGGUAAAAGCCUACCAAGGCGACGAUCCAUAGCUGGUCUGAGAGGAUGAUCAGCCACACUGGGACUGAGACACGGCCCAGACUCCUACGGGAGGCAGAAGUGGGGAAUAUUGGACAAUGGGCGAAGGCCUGAUCCAGCAAUGCCGCGUGAGUGAUGAAGGCCUUAGGGUUGUAAAGCUCUUUUACCCGGGAUGAUAAUGACGGUACCGGGAGAAUAAGCUCCGGCUAACUCCGU